rnacentral:rRNA from 1 species
UGGAUGAGUUGCGAACGGGUGAGUAACGCGUAGGUAACCUGCCUUGUAGCGGGGGAUAACUAUUGGAAACGAUAGCUAAUACCGCAUAACAAUGGAUGACCCAUGUCAUUUAUUUGAAAGGGGCAAAUGCUCCACUACAAGAUGGACCUGCGUUGUAUUAGCUAGUAGGUGAGGUAACGGCUCACCUAGGCGACGAUACAUAGCCGACCUGAGAGGGUGAUCGGCCACACUGGGACUGAGACACGGCCCAGACUCCUACGGGAGGCAGCAGUAGGGAAUCUUCGGCAAUGGGGGCAACCCUGACCGAGCAACGCCGCGUGAGUGAAGAAGGUUUUCGGAUCGUAAAGCUCUGUUGUAAGUCAAGAACGAGUGUGAGAGUGGAAAGUUCACACUGUGACGGUAGCUUACCAGAAAGGGACGGCUAACUACGUGCCAGCAGCCGCGGUAAUACGUAGGUCCCGAGCGUUGUCCGGAUUUAUUGGGCGUAAAGCGAGCGCAGGCGGUUUGAUAAGUCUGAAGUUAAAGGCUGUGGCUCAACCAUAGUUCGCUUUGGAAACUGUCAAACUUGAGUGCAGAAGGGGAGAGUGGAAUUCCAUGUGUAGCGGUGAAAUGCGUAGAUAUAUGGAGGAACACCGG